rnacentral:rRNA from 1 species
CCAAUAGCGUAUAUUAAAGUUGUUGCAGUUAAAAAGCUCGUAGUUGAAUUUCGAGAUCAAUUUGUUGGUCGUGCCUCGGUACGUACUGGCAAUUUUGGUUUCUCCCUUCUGAAGAACCAUGAUGUCAUUAAUUUGGUGUCAUGGGGAAUCAGGACCGUUACUUUGAAAAAAUUAGAGUGUUUAAAGCAGGCUCGCGCUUGAAUACAUUAGCAUGGAAUAA